rnacentral:rRNA from 1 species
UUGAAAGGGAAACGAUUGAAGUCAGUCGUACCGACGAAGGAUCAACUUUUGGAAUGCGAAUUGGGGUAUUCGAGGAGUUUAAAAGCCUUCGUGUGCUCAUGUAUUCGUGCUUCUUGGGUGCACUUCUUCGUAUUGGUAGGUUAACAUCAAUUUUGGACGUUACAAAAUGAUCGGGGGAAUGUAGCUUCGAUUUUUUCGAAGUGUUAUAGACCUUGGUAGAUGUGACGACCGGGAUUGAGGAUUGCAACGAAUGCUUUCGGGCUAUCCGUCUGACCUCUGGUGGUUGCUUUAGGGUCGAAAGCGUGCUUACGACUUUAAAGUUGGCUAUCAAAAGGCUAGAACGUGAUUAAAUUCGUUAAGGAUGUUGACGUA